rnacentral:lncRNA from 1 species
AUGACUACAUGGCAGAGCAAAGAGACCUGGAUACACAGGGACACACACUUUAAUCAAAAGUUGUCAAGCAAUUUUCUUUUGGUUUUUGCACAGGGUAUAAAUCCUAAUAUCGUCUACUCCAUUUUGGGAAACGCUGCCUUUUCAGUCAUUGAUGGAUUCUUGUUCAUGACCACUGAGGUUGCUGCUGGAUCAUAUACUAUGGAGGUCAAAGCCACUGACACAAAACACAUUGAGGAAGCGACUGCUGGGCUCGUAGUGGAGGUGGUGGAAGAGCCCACCACCACCGCUCCUCCGACCACGGUCUCCACUUCGACCCCUGUACCCACCACUGGAGAAACAACUGUCCCUACCCCUGAUACAACCCCUGACAUUACCACAAACCCGUCGCCCGAGCCCACCACUAAACCUGAACCUACCGGCCCUACCACUGUAGAAACCUCUAAACCCUCCUCAAAUCCCA